AUCAUUGUGGCAUCUGCACUGAG
rnacentral:piRNA from 1 species